UACGUAGGGUGCAAGCGUUGUCCGGAAUUAUUGGGCGUAAAGGGCUCGUAGGCGGUUUGUCGCGUCUGCUGUGAAAACUCGGGGCUUAACCCCGGGCCUGCAGUGGGUACGGGCAGACUAGAGUGCGGUAGGGGAGACUGGAAUUCCUGGUGUAGCGGUGAAAUGCGCAGAUAUCAGGAGGAACACCGGUGGCGAAGGCGGGUCUCUGGGCCGUAACUGACGCUGAGGAGCGAAAGCAUGGGGAGCGAACAGG
rnacentral:rRNA from 1 species